GGGUCACUGGGCAAACUGGCAAAGCCACUGCACUCAGACUGCAGAGUUUCCGAGUUCGACUCUCGGGUGACCUA
rnacentral:tRNA from 1 species